rnacentral:rRNA from 1 species
CCUUGAAAUACCACCCUUUAAUGUUUGAUGUUCUAACGUUGGCCCCUGAUCGGGGUUGCGGACAGUGUCUGGUGGGUAGUUUGACUGGGGCGGUCUCCUCCUAAAGAGUAACGGAGGAGCACGAAGGUUGGCUAAUCCUGGUCGGACAUCAGGAGGUUAGUGCAAUGGCAUAAGCCAGCUUGACUGCGAGCGUGACGGCGCGAGCAGGUGCGAAAGCAGGUCAUAGUGAUCCGGUGGUUCUGAAUGGAAGGGCCAUCGCUCAACGGAUAAAAGGUACUCCGGGGAUAACAGGCUGAUACCGCCCAAGAGUUCAUAUCGACGGCGGUGUUUGGCACCUCGAUGUCGGCUCAUCACAUCCUGGGGCUGAAGUAGGUCCCAAGGGUAUGGCUGUUCGCCAUUUAAAGUGGUACGCGAGCUGGGUUUAGAACGUCGUGAGACAGUUCGGUCCCUAUCUGCCGUGGGCGCUGGAGAACUGAGGGGGGCUGCUCCUAGUACGAGAGGACCGGAGUGGACGCAUCACUGGUGUUCGGGUUGUCAUGCCAAUGGCACUGCCCGGUAGCUAAAUGCGGAAGAGAUAAGUGCUGAAAGCAUCUAAGCACGAAACUUGCCCCGAGAUGAGUUCUCCCUGAGACUUUAAGUCUCCUGAAGGAACGUUGAAGACGACGACGUUGAUAGGCCGGGUGUGUAA